GUGCUCACUUCAGCAGCACAUAUAUGAAAAUUGGAACAAUACAGAGAUUAGCCUGGCCCCUGCAUGAGGAUGACAUGCAAAUUCAUGAAGCAUUCCAUAUUUUU